GGAGGCAUUGUGGCUCAGUCAAGGCUGGCUGAGGAGAAGGAAGGAUGUGUAUUGCAGGCUCCUCCAGAGGAAUCACUGGAGAUGGGCACGCUUGAGUGCAAAAAAGAGAAAUGACCUGUCCAAGGUCCCACAGUGGAGCAAAGACCCUACAGAUAUCCAGGCUAACAGGCAUGUUGAGAAUAUCAGUGAGUUCACUAUCAGUGCCCUCAAAGACUUUAUAGAAAGGAAAGCAUCACUGUUCAUAGAUUGUCACAAACGUGCAAAAGAACCAGCUGUUCACAGAUGCCCAGUCCCCUAAAACUCAACUGAUCAGUUCAGAUACCUGCUGUUUAAAUUGAUGAAGCGGAACAAGGCUUGAUCUCCCCUUUCCUGGCAUUUCUGGAAGACUGAAAGCUUGUUUUACCCUCUGGUGAUUUCAGGACCUUCCAGGCAAGUCCAUGAUAGUCUAUGCCUUCUAUCAGAGCAGAGAACAGCAGAGUCACUCUCUGAAGCUGCUGAAAGCUGUCAGAGAUGCAGAGAAGAGAUGCACCAAGACACGUCCUACCAAUUGCAACUUGAGAAAUCCCAGAGCUCAGCAUCCUGGGAAAAUAACUGAGAAACUAGGUUUUCUGACUGACUCAGAGGGAGCAAACGUCAUGCAACUCCCCUAAAAAAGACAAGACAAAAUUGCUGAUCUUGGUAAGAUAGGGGGAGGCUCAGCUAAUCAGCCAAGGUAACUAGAAGAAAUACCAUGUGACUUCAAAGAUAUAAAUCCCAACACGCAACUAAUCCCAGUUUGAAGCCAUAAAAAAGUUGCUUUGAAAUGUUCACAAUCAAUCAGAUGGUGCCAUCAAAAAUAUAUCACCAAUCUUUGACAAAACCCCACUAAAAACAAAAAUUUGACUAAAGUAAUGGAAAUAGAUACCAGCUCCAUCAGAAUCAAUA